rnacentral:rRNA from 1 species
AGGCAAAUCCGGAUAAUCAAGGCUGAGGUGUGAUGACGAGGCACUACGGUGCUGAAGUAACAAAUGCCCUGCUUCCAGGAAAAGCCUCUAAGCAUCAGGUAACAUCAAAUCGUACCCCAAACCGACACAGGUGGUCAGGUAGAGAAUACCAAGGCGCUUGAGAGAACUCGGGUGAAGGAACUAGGCAAAAUGGUGCCGUAACUUCGGGAGAAGGCACGCUGGUGUGUAGGUGAAGUCCCUGCGGAUGGAGCUGAGACCAGUCGAAGAUACCAGCUGGCUGCAACUGUUUAUUAAAAACACAGCACUGUGCAAACACGAAAGUGGACGUAUACGGUGUGACGCCUGCCCGGUGCCGGAAGGUUAAUUGAUGGGGUUAUCCGUAAGGAGAAGCUCUUGAUCGAAGCCCCGGUAAACGGCGGCCGUAACUAUAACGGUCCUAAGGUAGCGAAAUUCCUUGUCGGGUAAGUUCCGACCUGCACGAAUGGCGUAAUGAUGGCCAGGCUGUCUCCACCCGAGACUCAGUGAAAUUGAACUCGCUGUGAAGAUGCAGUGUACCCGCGGCAAGACGGAAAGACCCCGUGAACCUUUACUAUAGCUUGACACUGAACAUUGAGCCUUGAUGUGUAGGAUAGGUGGGAGGCUUUGAAGCGUGGACGCCAGUCUGCGUGGAGCCAACCUUGAAAUACCACCCUUUAAUGUUUGAUGUUCUAACGUUGGCCCCUUACCGGGGUUGCGGACAGUGUCUGGUGGGUAGUUUGACUGGGGCGGUCUCCUCCCAAAGCGUAACGGAGGAGCACGAAGGUUAGCUAAUCCUGGUCGGACAUCAGGAGGUUAGUGCAAUGGCAUAAGCUAGCUUGACUGCGAGCGUGACGGCGCGAGCAGGUGCGAAAGCAGGUCAUAGUGAUCCGGUGGUUCUGAAUGGAAGGGCCAUCGCUCAACGGAUAAAAGGUACUCCGGGGAUAACAGGCUGAUACCGCCCAAGAGUUCAUAUCGACGGCGGUGUUUGGCACCUCGAUGUCGGCUCAUCACAUCCUGGGGCUGAAGUAGGUCCCAAGGGUAUGGCUGUUCGCCAUUUAAAGUGGUACGCGAGCUGGGUUUAGAACGUCGUGAGACAGUUCGGUCCCUAUCUGCCGUGGGCGCUGGAGAAUUGAGGGGGGCUGCUCCUAGUACGAGAGGACCGGAGUGGACGCAUCACUGGUGUUCGGGUUGUCAUGCCAAUGGCACUGCCCGGUAGCUAAAUGCGGAAGAGAUAAGUGCUGAAAGCAUCUAAGCACGAAACUUGCCCCGAGAUGAGUUCUCCCUGAGACUUUAAGUCUCCUGAAGGAACGUUGAAGACGACGACGUUGAUAGGCCGGGUGUGUAAGCGCAGCGAUGCGUUGAGCUAACCGGUACUAAUGAACCGUGAGGCUUAACCUU